rnacentral:rRNA from 1 species
GAUGAACGCUGGCGGCGUGCCUAAUACAUGCAAGUCGAGCGAACAGACGAGGAGCUUUCUCCUCUGACGUUAGCGGCGGACGGGUGAGUAACACGUGGAUAACCUACCUAUAAGACUGGGAUAACUUCGGGAAACCGGAGCCAAUACCGGAUAAUAUAUUGAACCGCAUGGUUCAAUAGUGAAAGACGGUUUUGCUGUCACUUAUAGAUGGAUCCGCGCCGCAUUAGCUAGUUGGUAAGGUAACGGCUUACCAAGGCGACGAUGCGUAGCCGACCUGAGAGGAUGAUCAGCCACACUGGAACUGAGACACGGUCCAGACUCCUACGGGAGGCAGCAGUGGGGAAUAUUGCGCAAUGGGCGAAAGCCUGACGGAGCAACGCCGCGUGAGUGAUGAAGGUCUUCGGAUCGUAAAGCACUGUUAUUAGGGAGGAACAAAUGUGUAAGUAACUAUGCACGUAUUGACGGUACCUAAACAGAAAGCCCCGGCUAACUACGUG